UACGAAGGCCACAAGCGUUAUCCGGAUUUAUUGGGCGUAAAGCGCGCGCAGGAGGUUUCUUAAGUCUCUGGUUAAAUUUCGGGGCUCAACUCCGACGCUGCCAGGGAAACUGGGAGACUCGAGGGCGUUAGAGGCAGAUGGAACACACGGUGUAGGGGUGAAAUCCGUUGAUAUCGUGUGGAACACCAAAGGCGAAGGCAUUCUGCUGGGACGUUCCUGACUCUGAGGCGCGAAAGCGUGGGGAG
rnacentral:rRNA from 1 species